AAACAUGUCUUUUUGUAAUUAAUUUAAAGUCUAGCCUGCCCACUGAAGUUUUAAAUGGCCGCAGUAUAUUAACUGUGCAAAGGUAGCAUAAUCAUUAGUCUUUUAAUUGAAGGCUGGAAUGAAUGGUUGGACGAGAUAUUAACUGUUUCAUUUAAAUUUACAAUAGAAUUUUAUUUUUUAGUCAAAAAGCUAAAAUUUUUUUAAAAGACGAGAAGACCCUAUAAAUCUUUAUAUUUUGCUUAUAGUAAAUAAUAAGAUUAAUUUUGUUAUUAUAAGUUAAAGUAUUUUAUUGGGGUGAUAUUAAAAUUUAAUAAACUUUUAAUUUUUUAUUUCAUUAAUUUAUGGUUAACUGAUCCGUUAAUAACGAUUAAAAAUUUAAGUUACUUUAGGGAUAACAGCGUAAUUUUUUUGGAGAGUUCUUAUCGAUAAAAAAGAUUGCGACCUCGAUGUUGGAUUAAGAGAUAAUUUUAGGUGUAGCCGCUUAAAUUUUAAGUCUGUUCGACUUUUAAAUUCUUACAUGAUCU
rnacentral:rRNA from 1 species